rnacentral:rRNA from 1 species
AAAUUGAAGAGUUUGAUCAUGGCUCAGAUUGAACGCUGGCGGCAGGCCUAACACAUGCAAGUCGAGCGGUAGCACAGAGAGCUUGCUCUCGGGUGACGAGCGGCGGACGGGUGAGUAAUGUCUGGGAAACUGCCUGAUGGAGGGGAUAACUACUGGAAACGGUAGCUAAUACCGCAUAAUGUCGCAAGACCAAAGUGGGGACCUUCGGGCCUCAUGCCAUCAGAUGUGCCCAGAUGGGAUUAGCUAGUAGGUGGGGUAACGGCUCACCUAGGCGACGAUCCUAGCUGGUCUGAGAGGAUGACCAGCCACACUGGAACUGAGACACGGUCCAGACUCCUACGGGAGGCAGCAGUGGGGAAUAUUGCACAAUGGGCGCAAGCCUGAUGCAGCCAUGCCGCGUGUGUGAAGAAGGCCUUCGGGUUGUAAAGCACUUUCAGCGGGGAGGAAGGCGGUGAGGUUAAUAACCUCACCGAUUGACGUUACCCGCAGAAGAAGCACCGGCUAACUCCGUGCCAGCAGCCGCGGUAAUACGGAGGGUGCAAGCGUUAAUCGGAAUUACUGGGCGUAAAGCGCACGCAGGCGGUCUGUCAAGUCGGAUGUGAAAUCCCGGGCUCAACCUGGGAACUGCAUUCGAAACUGGCAGGCUAGAGUCUUGUAGAGGGGGUAGAAUUCCGGUGUAGCGGUGAAAUGCGUAGAGAUCUGGAGGAAUACCGGUGGCGAAGGCGGCCCCUGGACAAAGACUGACGCUCAGGUGCGAAAGCGUGGGGAGCAAACAGGAUUAGAUACCCUGGUAGUCCACGCCGUAAACGAUGUCGAUUUGGAGGUUGUGCCCUUGAGGCGUGGCUUCCGGAGCUAACGCGUUAAAUCGACCGCCUGGGGAGUACGGCCGCAAGGUUAAAACUCAAAUGAAUUGACGGGGCCCGCACAAGCGGUGGAGCAUGUGGUUUAAUUCGAUGCAACGCGAAGAACCUUACCUGGUCUUGACAUCCACAGAACUUUCCAGAGAUGGAUUGGUGCCUUCGGGAACUGUGAGACAGGUGCUGCAUGGCUGUCGUCAGCUCGUGUUGUGAAAUGUUGGGUUAAGUCCCGCAACGAGCGCAACCCUUAUCCUUUGUUGCCAGCGGUCCGGCCGGGAACUCAAAGGAGACUGCCAGUGAUAAACUGGAGGAAGGUGGGGAUGACGUCAAGUCAUCAUGGCCCUUACGACCAGGGCUACACACGUGCUACAAUGGCAUAUACAAAGAGAAGCGACCUCGCGAGAGCAAGCGGACCUCAUAAAGUAUGUCGUAGUCCGGAUUGAGUCUGCAACUCGACUCCAUGAAGUCGGAAUCGCUAGUAAUCGUAGAUCAGAAUGCUACGGUGAAUACGUUCCCGGGCCUUGUACACACCGCCCGUCACACCAUGGGAGUGGGUUGCAAAAGAAGUAGGUAGCUUAACCUUCGGGAGGGCGCUUACCACUUUGUGAUUCAUGACUGGGGUGAAGUCGUAACAAGGUAACCGUAGGGGAACCUGCGGUUGGAUCACCUCCUUA